rnacentral:rRNA from 1 species
GGAAUCUUGCGCAAUGGGCGAAAGCCUGACGCAGCGACGCCGCGUGAGGGAUGAAGCUUUUCGGAGCGUAAACCUCUUUCGACCCGGACGAAUACCCGCAAGGGUUUGACGGUACGGGGAGAGGAAGCCACGGCCCACUACGUGCCAGACGCCGCGGUAAUACGUAGGGGGCCAGCGUUGCUCGGAAUUACUGGGCGUAAAGGGUCUGUAGGCGGUGCUGUAAGUCCGGAGUGAAAUCUCCAGGCUCAACUUGGAGGCUGCUUCGGAAACUGCCGUGCUCGAGUGUGGGAGAGGCGCGUGGAAUUGCAGGUGUAGCGGUGAAAUGCGUAGAUAUCUGCAGGAACACCAGUGGCGAAAGCGGCGCGCUGGACCACAACUGACGCUGAGAGACGAAAGCUAGGGGAGCAAA